UGUGUCAGACUCAAUUAAAGAUGAGACCCAGGUGUGGAGGAGCUGGGUGGAUAAUACCAAGGAAGGGGUUCAGUGCAGGAAGAAGUGGAGGACUACGUGUCUGCUGCCCUGUAAUGUGGGAAGGGAACUGUUACAAUAGGCCAGGAGAUGCCCUAAGAAGCCAUGGCAGCUCCUUCAGUGAGCACUGAUAAAAGAGCAGGAACCAGACCUCCAGGGAGAAAACCCUGGAAGGUGUUGCCUGCUAUCAGAGUACGGAAGAACUUUGCAAAGCCUAGAAAGGAGCUGGGGCAAAGGACCUAGAGGCCAGGCAUGGUAGGAAGGAGUCUAGGUAAGCCACAAGGACUCUGAGCUAGUCUUGGCUGCUUGCUAUGGGGUCCUUGGACUGGAUGAGGUGUAAACAGAGGACCUGGGUUCCCCUCCCCACCACUGGAGAAAGUGGCACCAAACCCCUGACAGAAGAGGGUAAGGACUUGCUCUGAGGCAAGAGGAUGUAAGGACUGCUUGGCCCAGAAUCGGGGGCUGAAGACCUGAGAGAAGGUCAUCGGACUACUGAGUGGUGAGACUGCUGUUACCCUGGCAGGGCUGGGAGUGACUGGCAGCUGGCUGGAGGGCUGAGUCACAAGAAGAUGCGGACCACUGCUGGACCCAGUGGGGGGCCACAAGAGGAGAGCCUGCUAUGCUGUACCCAGCUGCCUGGUCUGUGACUGGACUGGCAGCUCCGGGGGGAAGAAGGGAAAGGUUCACACAAAGAAAAGCUACCCAACUACGUUAUUGUGUAUUUAUUUGUGCAUCCGAUGCACACGCUCACCACCAAAGAGUCUGCCCAUCAAAGCCAAGACAGACAGUCCCAACCUACAGCUGUUUCCAAGCUCAUAACUCACCUGUUUCUGUCUGAUGUUCUGCAGCUGCUGACUUGGAUGAGACGAGGCAGGCAUAUUUUCCCUCAGGAUUUUGGUUACUUUGCACCUCUGCGCUUUAUAGAUCUCUGCUUACUCCCCC